CGCCGCCGCUCUCGUCGCGUCUGCUCCCUUGGUUGCCAUCGUUGCAGAGCUCCCUCCGCCGCUCUCGUCGUGUAUGCUCCCUUCAUUGCCGUUGUCACAGAGCUCUAUCCGCCGCCGCUCCUGUCGCGUUUGCUCCCUUAGUGAAUUUCAGGUUUAUCAAUUAUUUUACUAUCUGCGAAGAAAGAGAUUCCAGAUUGACAACAACAUAGAGAUGCCAGAGUUAUGCCCGGAAUGGUUAGCAUUGUUGAUCAUCGAGAAGGCUUGUUUAUCUUCCAUUUCUCUUUAUGAAACUUCUGGUGCUGUAUGUAAGACUGGUCAAAAUUUUAAGGAAAAACUAAGGGAGCUUGGAGGACUUGAUGCUGUCUUUGAAAUUACCUUGAAGUGCCAGUCGGAUUUGAAGGGUUAUCAAUUUUGGACUCGAACCGACAAGAAUGGUAUUUUUGUAAUCAACAAUAUUGUACCCGGUGAUUACAAUUUGUGUGCAUGGGUUCCUGGUUUUAUUGGAGACUACAAAUAUAAUAAGACAAUAACCAUCACACCAGGAUUCUCCACCAAAUCACGUUACCCCCAAUGUUGCAACCUCUUUCAUUGAGACACUUGAAGCCAAUGAUCUUCUCAAGACCACUUUAUGAAGACAGAUCAUGUGGGGAGCAAAGAAAGUCGAUGCCAAUGUCACUUCAAGAACCAUGCCUUUAGUCAAAAUGUACAAAGGAAAAUGAAUCUUGUCCUGGUGCUUUCUUAAGGAUAAUUCAACCUUUUUCCUUCAUACUCCAUAAUUUUCUCUUAAUACUACUAUAGCAAUAAAGCUAUUUUCAUUCAGUUGGGAUUUAUGUAAUAUUAAAGGUUAGGGCUGGGGCGGAGAUGGCAAUAAUUGAUGCUGUUGCAAAUAGUAUUCGUGUGCCAUUAAGGAGGCUUUUUGGUGGAGCCUCAAAUACCAUAACCACUGAUCUAACGAAACACACGUUAUGCUUCUAUUUCUAACCGUGAGAUGAUCUCACGUUCCUAAUCAACACGUCAGUGCGCUAUCAAAUGUUAAUGACAUUGUUGGAACAUUAGCUCUUGGUCAUUUUCCCUCUCCACUUUUGAGGAAGCCCUUCAUUCACUUGAAAUUUCUCUAAACCAGAUUAUAUGUUAUACCUGGUCUGGUAGUGAUACAUUGAAACUAAAAAGCAUAAGAUCUAGCCUCAGAAAACUGAAUUUAGUAGAAGAUAGAGCUAUUGCAAGGGUGAACCAUUUUGGUGUUUAUGUGAGAUAUUUCUUCAAUCUUCCUGCACCAACAGAUCAAAUUCCUACAAAUAUGACUCCUGUGAAAAUGGUAUCCACUAGCAUGGCCAAAGAAUUUGCUGGCGUAAAUGUAUGAUGGAAAUGAUAUGACAUUUGGGAUAUCAUCAAGAAUGGCUGGCCUUGUUUAAUCAUUCUGUGUGUAUUUAUGUAAAAAUUUCACAAUGAAAUUUUGAUAAUUAACUUGGCACUAUUGGCUUUGUUCUUGAUACAUUGUA